GACGAACGCUGGCGGCGUGCCUAAUACAUGCAAGUCGAACGCAGUGGGGACGGGGGAGUAACACGUGGGUAACCUCCCAUCAGAGGGGAUAACACUUGGAAACAGGUGCUAAACCGAUACUGAUGGAUGGACCCGCGGUGCAUUAGCUAGUUGGUGAGGUAACGGCUCACCAAGGCCACGAUGAAUCGCGGGCCUGAGAGGGUGAUCGGCCACACUGGGACUGAGAAACGGCCCAGACUCCUACGGGAGGCAGCAGUAGGGAAUAUUGGGCAAUGGAGGAAAGUCUGACGGAGCAACGCCGCGUGAGUGAAGAAGGUUUUCGGGUCGUAAAACUCUUUUGUUAGAGAAGCGGUAUCUAACCAGAAAGCCACGGCUAACUACGUGCCAGCAGCCGCGGUAAUUC
rnacentral:rRNA from 1 species